rnacentral:lncRNA from 1 species
CCUGGGGUGUCUGUGUUUACCGUGUGUGUGUUUACCAUGGGGUGCCAGUGUGGUGUAUCCUGUCUGUGGGACGCUCCAGGGGCUCCACUCGGUACGUCCCUCCCCCCGGGCACACACCCUGAACAGAUGAUCAGUGUGGGGGUCCAGGUGUAGGACCAGGAACUCCUGCUCCGGCCCGAUGUAGGUAUCCUCGUACUGACCUGAACAUACCGAGGUUAGGACCACAGAGAUACACUAGUAUUAAUAAAGCACUAUUCAUAUUAUAAAGUACU